UAUAAUAUAUCCAUAAUUUUUUUUUCCAAAAAUUGGGGUGUUACAAUCACCCCCAGUGCGGAGAAUAAAUUGGGUUUUGUUAAGUGGCAAUGAUGCAAUGACUUGAUCUUUUCAUGGAUCUAAAUUCCCUUGAACCAGCAAUUGUUGAUAGUGUCAUAUAUUCAACCACAACUUAUGAGGUAUGGCAAGAUCUUUAGGAGCGAUUCUCCCAAAGCAAUGCACCUAGAAUCUUUCAAUUGAAACAUUACAUCUCAUCCCUCAGUUAGGAUAUGAUGCAUGUUGUAACCUAUUGCACAAAAUUGAGAGGUCUUUAGGAUGGGCUGGUUUCCUAUAAUGACUUUACUUUUUGUAGUUGUGGUGCUAUGAAAAGGGACAUGGAGCGAGAAGAAAGAAAUGCAUUAAUGCAAUUUCUUAAGGGCUUGAACAAGUCUUAUGCUGCUGUAAGUGGACAAAUUUUACUUAUGUAGCUUUUACCAAAUCUCUGCGCAAAGCCUUUUCACUUAUUUCCCAAGAAGAAAAACAACUUGAAUUGAGUGUUUCAUGGGGUUCUACUGAAGUUGCAGUUAUGGCAAUUCAACAAAAUCAUAACGUGCCAAAGCAAUACAAAUCAUAGUCUGGUUAGAAAUCUCUACAUUGUAGUUAUUGUAAUUGAGAUUACCACACCUAAGAGACAUGUUACAAACUAUAUGGAUAUUUAGAGUGCAUCGACUCUACAAGACUAAUAA
rnacentral:misc_RNA from 1 species